rnacentral:rRNA from 1 species
CCUACGGGGGGCAGCAGUGAGGAAUAUUGGUCAAUGGGCGGGAGCCUGAACCAGCCAAGCCGCGUGAGGGAAGAAGGUACAGCGUAUCGUAAACCUCUUUUGUCAGGGAACAAAGGCGGGGACUAGUCCCCGGAUGAGGGUACCUGAAGAAAAAGCAUCGGCUAACUCCGUGCCAGCAGCCGCGGUAAUACGGAGGAUGCGAGCGUUAUCCGGAUUUAUGGGGUUUAAAGGGUGCGCAGGCGGCCUGUUAAGUCAGCGGUAAAAGCCCGGGGCUCAACCCCGGCGAGCCGUUGAAACUGGCGGGCUGGAGUUGGUGAGGAGUACGCGGAAUGCGCGGUGUAGCGGUGAAAUGCUUAGAUAUCGCGCAGAACCCCGAUUGCGAAGGCAGCGUACCGGCUCCACACUGACGCUGAGGCACGAAAGCGUGGGUAUCGAACAGGAUUAGAUACCCCUGUAGUC